AUCAUAGGAACUUAGUCUAAGAACAUCGCAAUCUGAGAUAACGACUGAGUGGCCCACAUCGAAAGCUUUCGGUGGA
rnacentral:sRNA from 1 species